GCCGGGAUAGCUCAGUUGGUUAGAGCGCUGGGUUGUGGACCCAGAGGUCGAGCGUUCGAGCCGCUCUCCCGGUACCA
rnacentral:tRNA from 1 species